UCUCAUGUCGUCUAGUGGUUAGGAUUCCUCGCUCUCACCCAGGUGACCCGGGUUUCGAUUCCCGGCUUGGGAG